CGGGAAUCCAACCUCCCUCCCGUUCGCUGCCGUACAUGUCACCGCCCCUAGCGAGCUAAGGUGACCGUGACCGUGACCGAGUGACAGGUCAGUCACUCAAGUCUCUGCUCACAAGGCCGGGUCGACCAGCGGGCUGAGCGGGCGCGCGUGCGGCGCGACGCAUGUGCUGUGAGUGGGACGGACGUGAGUCGCUCCGCGAUGACGUCAUGGGCAGGGACGACGCUGCGAACCUCAGGACCGUUUCGGCUGUGGACGGGAAUCAAACCUCCCCGGAGUGAACACCCUCCCUCCUGUUCGCUGCUCUACAUGUCACCGCCCACGCCAGCUACGGCGACCGAGACCGAGUGACAGGGCACAGUAAGCAGCAAACUACAUUUCCCCUUCCUCUGUGUGGAUACCGACAUCUCCCUGACAUAAGACACAGGUCGCCAUGACUCCACUACCGAAGGGACUAAACAAGUUCUUACAUGGUGAACGAUGC